GUUUUGUUGUAGGUUCUGUGCGGAUGCCUGCAUCUCUUUGCGGCGUUGUAGGGCUCAAACCGACUUUUGGACGCAUACCUCAUUCAGGUGUUCUUCCUUUGAACUGGACAGUGGGGAUGGUUGGAAUACUAGCAGGCACCUUAGAGGAUGCAUUAGUUGUCUAUGCUGCUAUUAGUGGCCAACUUCAAUCAUGUGAGCACACAACUUUACC